rnacentral:rRNA from 1 species
UCGCAAGAGGAGCGGCAGACGGGUGAGUAACGCGUGGGAAUUUGCCCUAUGGUAGAAUAACACAGAGAAAUUUGUGCUAAUACCGUAUGUGUCCUUCGGGAGAAAGAUUUAUCCAUAGGAUAAGCCCGCGUCCGAUUAGCUAGUUGGUGAGGUAAUGGCUCACCAAGGCGGAUCGGUAGCUGGUCUGAGAGGAUGAUCAGCCACACUGGGACUGAGACACGGCCCAGACCUACGGGAGGGCAGCAGUGGGGGAAUAUUGGACAAUGGGCGCAAGCCUGAUCCAGCCGCCGCGUGAGUGAUGACGGCCUUAGGGUUGUAAAGCUCUUUUACCCGGGAAGAUAAUGUGUACCGGGAGAAUAAGCCCCGGCUAACUUCGUGCCAGCAGCCGCGGUAAUACGAAGGGCUAGCGUUGUUUCGGAAUCACUGGGCGUAAAGCGCACGUAGGCGGACUUUUAAGUCAGGUGAAAGCCUGGAGCUCAACUCCAGAACUGCCUUUGAUACUGGAAGUCUUGAGUCCGAGAGGUGAGUGGAACUGCUAGUGUAGAGGUGAAAUUCGUAGAUAUUAGCAAGAACACCUGGCGAAGGCGGCUCACUGGACCGGUACUGACGCUGAGGUGCGAAAGCGUGGGGAGCA